rnacentral:rRNA from 1 species
AGAGUUUGAUCAUGGCUCAGAGCGAACGCUGGCGGCAGGCUUAACACAUGCAAGUCGAGCGGGCGUAGCAAUACGUCAGCGGCAGACGGGUGAGUAACGCGUGGGAACGUACCUUUUGGUUCGGAACAACACAGGGAAACUUGUGCUAAUACCGGAUAAGCCCUUACGGGGAAAGAUUUAUCGCCGAAAGAUCGGCCCGCGUCUGAUUAGCUAGUUGGUGAGGUAAUGGCUCACCAAGGCGACGAUCAGUAGCCGGUCUGAGAGGAUGAUCAGCCACAUUGGGACUGAGACACGGCCCAAACUCCUACGGGAGGCAGCAGUGGGGAAUAUUGGACAAUGGGCGCAAGCCUGAUCCAGCCAUGCCGCGUGAGUGAUGAAGGCCCUAGGGUUGUAAAGCUCUUUUGUGCGGGAAGAUAAUGACGGUACCGCAAGAAUAAGCCCCGGCUAACUUCGUGCCAGCAGCCGCGGUAAUACGAAGGGGGCUAGCGUUGCUCGGAAUCACUGGGCGUAAAGGGUGCGUAGGCGGGUCUUUAAGUCAGGGGUGAAAUCCUGGAGCUCAACUCCAGAACUGCCUUUGAUACUGAGGAUCUUGAGUUCGGGAGAGGUGAGUGGAACUGCGAGUGUAGAGGUGAAAUUCGUAGAUAUUCGCAAGAACACCAGUGGCGAAGGCGGCUCACUGGCCCGAUACUGACGCUGAGGCACGAAAGCGUGGGGAGCAAACAGGAUUAGAUACCCUAGUAGUCC